AUUGAACGCUGGCGGAAUGCUUUACACAUGCAAGUCGAACGGCAGCACGGGGCAACCUGGUGGCGAGUGGCGAACGGGUGAGUAAUACAUCGGAACGUGCCCAAUCGUGGGGGAUAACGUAGCGAAAGUUACGCUAAUACCGCAUACGAUCUACGGAUGAAAGCGGGGGAUCGCAAGACCUCGCGCGAAUGGAGCGGCCGAUGUCAGAUUAGGUAGUUGGUGGGGUAAAGGCUCACCAAGCCAACGAUCUGUAGCUGGUCUGAGAGGACGACCAGCCACACUGGAACUGAGACACGGUCCAGACUCCUACGGGAGGCAGCAGUGGGGAAUUUGGACAAUGGGCGCAAGCCUGAUCCAGCCAUUCCGCGUGCAGGAUGAAGGCCUUCGG
rnacentral:rRNA from 1 species